rnacentral:lncRNA from 1 species
CGAAUGCCAUUGAUACCUACCAACAGAUGGAUACAAGUCUAUGAGGACACCUCGACCUAGUUACCGCCUGUCUCUUGAUCUGAAAACAUGAAGUUAAAAACAGUGAGUACAAACUCAAUGAGUGAACAUAAGAAGGGAACAAGCAAUCUAUAGGAACAAUUUGAAAAUCAUCAUGCACUUGUUUAAAAAACAAUGCAAUUGAUUUAAUUUCUUACUAAAAACCCCUCAUUUCAAACUUUGAUUAAUAACCUCAUAGUGUUGCAAAAACCCAACAUCAAUCCAUGAAGUUAAAUGGGUGAAAAAUAUGUCAAAAUCAAGCAAGGUAGCAAGCAUGGCAGCAAAUUUCUCACUGCAGCGAACUUCAAUCUCGCUGCAGUGAGAUUCAGGCCGCAAAAACAGAAUGUUUCUCGCUGCAGCGAGAAAUAAUGUUAGUUUGGAUGUGUUUCAGUUUUUCUAGUAUAUCUCUCGCUACAGAAGUCCAAUUGACCUGAUUGUUAGACCAUUAAAAAGAUAAGCAGUAGGUAUACAACUUUUAUGUUUACUACUUUUCCCAUUUCGUACGGGAAGGUGGUCAAAAUCUUUAUCGAAGUGAAAGUACUGCAUCAAAACCUGAGAGUUUCUCGCUGCAGCAAGAUUUAUUCUCGCUGCAGUGGGUUGUUGGUAGCCAAAACAGUAUGUUUCUCGCUGCAGCAAGAAACAGCUAGAGGUAGGGCACCUAAAUGUAAAAAAGACCUCCUUUGCACUAAAAAUCCAUUUGGUGUUGCAAUAAAAUCAAUUUGCAAGAAAAUGGAAAAUUCUCAAGGUUCAUCAUGCUAAUUUCAACAUGCCAUACAAUCACAUUUUAUAAUCACACACAUUCUAUCACAUAUCUAUAGAUAUAAUCAUAUAUAGCACCUAUACCACCUCGCCUUCCUCAGCUCUUGUGCACUCCCUACACACAUAAGGCAAUACCACCAUAUGUGCACUCCCUACUCGCACAUUUCAAUGUCAUCAUUUGUGCACUCCUUACUCGCACACCUCAUUAUCAUCAUACAACAUUAUUUAUCAUUGCACAACAUACAUUCAAAUAUGCAUACCAACACAAUAUAGGAGCACAUGAAUUCAUCCUCUUUACACAUUUCACACGUUUUACAACAUCAAAGAAUUUAUCAAGGGCUUGUUCCCAAGCACCCAUUUUUAAUGAAAAGUUUGAUAAAAUCAUGCUAAUAAUUCAUCUCAACAUAAUUCUAUUUUUCCAAAACAAUUUUGAAAUGCAAGUUCACUCACCGGUAUUGUUGAACCUCUAAUCGACUCUAACCUCCACUAAUGGUUCAAAUGGGGCUGUGGGGCCUCGUUGGAACCUAUCACGCACAAAAACAUCACAACCAAUCCAAUUUACAUUAAUAUCACUCCAAAGACUAGUUUCUAAUUUAAGUUUUACUAGUCAUUCCUAAUUGGCUUCCAACUAUAUCAAAUGGCUAUUCCUUGCACUACUCUAAUCACAUUAAAAAUGAAUAAACGACCUCAAUAAUAAAACAGCUCAUAAUCCAAAUUACUAGCCAUUAUUAACAACUUAAAACCAAGCAUAGUUCAUCACUCACCCUAAGGUUUCUUUAUAGCUUAAUUCUCUUCCGAUAGCUUCCAAACAAAUGUGCAUAGUCUCUCUCUCUCUCUCUCUCUCUCUCUCUCUAGAACGUCUAGCUAGUGAGAGAGUGUAAUAAGGAAAGGUUUUUGAGGGUUUUAUGGUGAAAAAGUAAAGACCACAAAGAACUUUGUGAAAGGGUGCACAAAAACAAGAAAAUCGGGGUUAACUCGAGGAAAUAUAUGGAAGUUUCAAAGCAAGCUUCUAUAGGGGCUACAAAAACGUGGGAAAGGAAGAAGAAGAAGAAGAAGUGCUAGAAAUUUGAAAAACCUCCUAGAAACUUAGAUAUUUAUACUUUAUGUUUAUCCAUUUCUCAUGAAUUACCAAAAUGCCCUUAAUAAGGUCAUUUUGUCUUUCCAUCGCCUUUAUACAAUCCUUUUACUUCUUUGACACUGAGACAAGGUCCAUAAGGGUCUAGAAAUGCUCGGGUUCUUGAAAAAUUAAAAAUUUCAACUCGAGAUGCAAAAUGACCGUUUUCCCCCUACCGUGAAAAUUGUCGCUAUUUUUAUCUUCUUCAUUAUCUUACCCUCAUUCAUUCAUUCCUUAGGCCUACUUGAACCUUAAUAACAUUAGAAAACUACUUUCAGGGGCUCACCAGGAGAAAUGACUAAAUUACCUCUAGUCCGUGUUAUCGCGUCUACUUCUAGUUACGAGUCUCUAGAGGUCGAGAUCUCACAGUCAUGAUCUAGAGAUACUCAAUGGAUGACAUCAAAGCACUACAGACAGGAAUCAUAAGCGAGACUAAUACCACCAUCCCUGUAGGCAAUGAAUACAGUUGUAGUGGAUAAGACUCCACUCAACCUCAAAUCAAAUCAAUGUUUGGAAUUCUCCUCAUUGAACGGAACAAAAAUCCUCAAGUAAGGCUAUCAUGCCUUUUAUAUCACAUAUGUUUAGCAUGCACAUCAAUGAUCACACCUAAUGAGCUUCGAAUUCUACUUAGCUUAAUAUCACGUCUAAAUGCCCUUAAUUCUCCAAGGCAUCUGUCACGACCCGGUACUCCUCUCGAGCCCGUGACAACCGUCGCGAGGUCCCGGUAGACAUUCAUUACUCGGAGUGCCAACCGGAACCCCGUAAGGCUUUAAUACCAUUUUUUUUCAUCUCCCCUGUGAGUAAUCAUCGCCAAACCUCGUUUUUAAAGAAUUUUAAGCUUUUUCCCUUUCAAAACCGUGGAAAAAUAAUUUUCGCCUCAUAGGGGCGUUUUCAUCAUUUUUUCUCCAAAUUUUUCGAACCCGACUAAAAAUGUAGUAGAUGAGUGGAAAACACAUAUGUCAUGAUUUAAAAUAAAUUUGAGUGUCUAAAACAUUUAUUAAAAAUGAUAUUGCAACUAUUUGAAUAAAAUAAAAAUAUUCAAUAAAAUAUUCUAAUUUCUUGUAAAACAAUAUUCAUAGAGUCAUCGGUAAAUAAUUUUUGUAAUGUAAAAGCUAAAAAAAUUCAUACGUAUUAUAAUACGAUAACCGGGAUAUAAAAUUUACUUUACAGUAACUCGUGGGCCCACAAAGAACAAAAGUGCACAAAGGAAGUAAACCUACAGUUUUUGGAGUAGUAAAGCCGACUAAAAUCCUCGACAAUAUCUGUUAUCCACAGGCUACCUCGGGUCUGAAAUGGUUGAAAAGGAGGGUGGUGAGAUUAUAAAAUCCCAGUGAGUAAACAGAUACCAUCUAAACAAUCUAAAGUCAAGUAAAUGGAGAUAGAUAAACAGUUUAGCAUACUGAAAUUCAUCACCUUUCAACUUGUUCCAACCAAAUAAAAUCAAUUCAUAUAAAUCGAGUAAUUAACAUGGCUUAUGAAUUUCUUAAAACUUUGGCUCGUGCCAAAAUCAUUCUCAUACCCAGUUAUCAGGGAUACCUUGGCCGCGGGCUAUCCCAAACCGAGUCCGCCAAGGCUAUUAAAAAGUUAUGCACUCAUAAAUCAUGUUUUUAUUUUGAAAAUAUAGCCAUUCCUUGGCGUUGGCUGAGUUCGCCCUCAAGUGGUGGUUUGGGGUGAAGUGAAAUCUAAAAGUUAUACCUCAGGAGUUACCCUACUCGCGUCUCCAACCGAGGUAAGAAUAUGACCAGGUUUCGUGCCCCUCUAAUAGGCUAGUCCACAAAACCAGCCCACUACAACAAGCUAAACCCACCAUACAAUAAAAUUUGCAAUAGCAUAACAUGGUAAUUAUUUUAUUUUUAUAGCCUCUCAAGGCAAAUCAAUAAUUCAUGCAUUUUCAGCACAUUUAGCAAUUUAACCAUUCAUGCCAAUAUUGCCAUAAGCCAAUCAAUUAAAACCAUAAAUUUACAACAUAUUAAGUGGUCUGCAAUUACUCUAUUUUCAAAGCCAUUAUUCAAUUUUAAAACAAUUUUAUGAAAUCAUUUCAUUAAAUCACAUUUGGUUUAUAAAAUCAAAAAAUUAAUCAUUUAAUUCAUUUUCCAUGAAAUUCACAAAAUCAGAUAAAAAUCACUUUAGAUAAUUAAGACGAUAGUAAGGUUACUCACAGUACUAGGAGUUCGAUAUACUCCUAUUCUCGGUCUUCGGGGCACAAUCUCUUUACCCUUAUUAAAGGGCUCACCACCUAUACAUCAUACGUGACACGAAUUUCAAUAAAUUGUGUCAAUUUAUUAUAAACUAUUUUAGGCUCUAUAAAUCUAUAUGAAUGCACGAAAUGUGAUGCAAAAUGUCCGAAUAGCAGUUUAAAUACGAUAUUCGACCUAAUUUGCACUAUUCUCGGUGUAAUUGGCUAAAACCUCUAAUUUAACUUCAAAUCGAUUUCUUUCACUUUCUACACUCCAAUUAUACUUAAAAUACCUCAAUGACUGUGAAUAUGAUUCAAUAUAUCAGUCCGAACCAUAAAUCGCACAUGUCUACACAUUAGGUAAAAAUUCAAAUUUUCAUGCCAAAAUUUCCCAUUAAAUUUCUAACCUCACCAAUCAUUAAAUACCACCAAAAUAUCAUGAAAUAUCAUCAAUUUCAGCCUCAAUAUCCUCCCUAGAAAAUUUGGCCUCUUGUGGGUUUGUGAAGAACAAAGUGAUUCCUUGUUAGAUUUUCAUACUUUUCAUUACCAAACAACCAAAAACACUUAAUUAGCUUGAAAUCUAGCAAAAUCAAUGUUCAAAACCUCUCCUCUCAAAUUCGGCCAGCAUUGGUUCAUCAUGCAAACUUGAGUUCUAAGCAUGAAAAAUGAAAAAGAAAGCAUGGGUAGUGUAAAUCACAAGAUAAAAUCAUAAAAUUUUACCUUUAUUAGCUUAAUCCCUUGAAAUCUCACACUUUUUCUUCAAUUUUCCCACCUAGGGUUUGUGUUCUUUCCUUUCCUCUUCACUUCAUGCUUUGGCCAG